CCCUCUCCACGUUUCGUUGCUUUUCUCCACUGCUAAAGAAACUCUUAAGCCUCUUAAAAGUCCUUGUCAGUACUCCUAACAUUUUUAGACUUUAAAAGCUCUUUAAAGGGUUAAGAUGAGUUACUUUCUUCUUUACUCGGAUCUUUUCUUAAAUUUUAAGAGAAAACGCCCACAUUUCUCAGAAUUUUGUCACAAGGAGCAACUCUUAGCACAAAUGAUUUUCAUGAAUACGGGCGCAGGACUUCAUACUCCUCCCCCCUCUCCUUACCAGGGUUUCUCUCACCUCCUGCGCCACAGUUUUAGUCAUGGUUUUGGUCUUUUUGGUUUCACCACCAAAACAACUAAACUUACGUAUUUGGUUCUGCAGGAAAUGAACAGAUACCGCAAUUAUAAUCAAAUUAAAUUCCAAUACACCAUUUCUAAUGUAAACACUUAAUACGUUUUCCCUUAUGUAAAUAUAUCUCUUUCUAAUUAAUCUUGAUUGGUCUGUUGUUUGAAACUGACAUUGAUCUGCUGCUGUCUGAAGUUGAGCUAUUUUUUACUUGACACGGUAUCUUUAAAACAUCCCACUCGAAAACGAGACAUUGAGAAAACAGUGAUACGAUCUAUAAUGACCAAAUACACAGACAGACUGAAUGACCUUUGAUCAGUUUGUGCACAAACACACACACACCUGCAGAAAAUUAAGCAGAGACUCACAUAGUUGAGUGUGUGAAGGAAAAGCGCAGUGAUGUUUUCAGUGGUGUGUGUGUGUGUUUAAUGUCUCUGGAAUUCUGGAAUUUCCCUUAUUCUGGGAACCCAAAACCAACUCUGAAAGACUGACAUAAAGACAACUAAAUGAAACACACAUACUGCACAUUGGUCUUAUCCUGCCACCUACUGGACACUGACUACAACACAAGAGUCAAUUUAAAUGCACUGUCUUCAUUCUGGUUUCGUCACGCUGCCUCGUUCAUCUCGUCUCGACCAAAGCUUUGCAGAAACGUCUGAAAUGCUCAGCUCAGAUAGUCGACGGAGCUCCUUACCUGAGAACAGCGAGGUCUCAAUGACGCGAUCUGAUUCGCUCUCGUCCUUCACGGUGGACCUCGGCCCCUCCCUCAUGAGUGAGGUGUUGGAGUUGAUUGACAGCUCCUGCUGCCUCAUUAGGAGCCAUCAAGAUCAGGAGGAGGAGGAGGAGGAGGAAGGGCAGCAGAGCCCUGUGUUUGAGAUGGAUCAUGAAUGUCAGACAGCGCCGAUCGGAGCAGACGUCACCAUCGAGCCCAGGAGGUUCCAGCAGGCUGCUAGCGUGCUAGCACGUCACUUUGGAGGAGGAAGACCUGAAGAAGAGAGUCAGAGAACGUCAUCUUUCAGACACACAAGGACGCCAUACAGCUUCACUGAGACAGAGGAUGAAAUCAAAGUAUGA
ensembl:lncRNA